UGGGGAAUAUUGGACAAUGGGGGCAACCCUGAUCCAGCCAUGCCGCGUGAGCGAGGAAGGCCUUCGGGUCGUAAAGCUCUGUUGUUGGGGACGAAGGGCGAAGGGUUAAUAGCCCCUAGCCUGACGGUACCCUUCGAGGAAGCCCCGGCUAACUACGAGCCAGCAGCCGCGGUAAUACGUAGGGGGCGAGCGUUGUCCGGAAUUAUUGGGCGUAAAGAGCGUGUAGGCGGCCCGGUAAGUCCGCCGUGAAAACCUGGGGCUCAACCCUGGGCGUGCGGUGGAUACUGCUGGGCUAGAGGAUGGUAGAGGCGAGUGGAAUUCCCGGUGUAGCGGUGAAAUGCGCAGAGAUCGGGAGGAACACCAGUAGCGAAGGCGGCUCGCUGGGCCAUUCCUGACGCUGAGACGCGAAAGCAUGGGGAGCGAACAGGAUUAGAUACCCGCGUAGUCC
rnacentral:rRNA from 1 species